GACGAACGCUGGCGGCGUGCCUAAUACAUGCAAGUAGAACGCACAGUUUAUACCGUAGCUUGCUACACCAUAGACUGUGAGUUGCGAACGGGUGAGUAACGCGUAGGUAACCUGCCUGGUAGCGGGGGAUAACUAUUGGAAACGAUAGCUAAUACCGCAUAAUAUUAAUUAUUGCAUGAUAAUUAAUUGAAAGGUGCAAUUGCACCACUACCAGAUGGACCUGCGUUGUAUUAGCUAGUAGGUGAGGUAACGGCUCACCUAGGCGACGAUACAUAGCCGACCUGAGAGGGUGAUCGGCCACACUGGGACUGAGACACGGCCCAGACUCCUACGGGAGGCAGCAGUAGGGAAUCUUCGGCAAUGGACGAAAGUCUGACCGAGCAACGCCGCGUGAGUGAAGAAGGUUUUCGGAUCGUAAAGCUCUGUUGUAAGAGAAGAACGGGUGUGAGAGUGGAAAGUUCACACUGUGACGGUAUCUGACCAGAAAGGGACGGCUGACUACGUG
rnacentral:rRNA from 1 species